rnacentral:rRNA from 1 species
CACAGAGUUAGCCGGGGCUUCUUCUCUCGAUACUGUCACUCCCGCGACGUGUUGGGUCACGGGACAUUCAUCUCGGUCGAAAGGAGUUUACGACCCGAAAGUCUUCAUCCUCCACGCGGCGUUGCGUCGUCAGGCUUGCGCCCAUUGCGAACAAUUCCCCACUGCUGCCUCCCGUAGGAGUCUGGACCGUGUCUCAGUUCCAGUGUGUCCGUCCGCCCUCUCAGGCCGGAUACCGAUCGGAGCCUUGGUGAGCCAUUACCUCGCCAACUAGCUAAUCGGACGCGGGCCCUCUCAAAGCGCCAGGUCUUGCGACUCCCCGGCUUUGAUGUCCGUGUAUCCAAACACGGGAUGUCAUGCGGUAUUACGCCCUUCCGUUUCGGAACGGUUACUCCCCCACUUCGAGGGUAGGUCGCCCACGCGUUACUCACCGUUUGCCACUCUACUCAUGGAUUGCUCACUUUCGCGUUCACUUGCAUGUGUAGCACGCCGCCAGCGUUGACUUGUGAGCC